UAGGGAAUAUUCGUCAAUGGGGGAAACCCUGAACGAGCAAUGCCGCGUGAGUGAUGAAGGUCUUCGGAUUGUAAAACUCUGUUGUAAAGGAAGAACACUUAUGGUAGGAAAUGCCCAUAAGCUGACGGUACUUUACUAGAAAGCCCCGGCUAACUACGUGCCAGCAGCCGCGGUAAUACGUAGGGGGCGAGCGUUGUCCGGAAUUAUUGGGCGUAAAGGGUGCGUAGGCGGUCUAUUAAGUCUGGUGUGAAAGCCCACAGCUUAACUGUGGAGGGUCAUUGGAAACUGGUAGACUUGAGUAUAAUAGAGGUGAGUGGAAUUCCACGUGUAGCGGUGAAAUGCGUAGAGAUGUGGAGGAACACCAGUGGCGAAGGCGACUCACUGGAUUAUUACUGACGCUGAGGCACGAAAGCGUGGGGAGCAAAUA
rnacentral:rRNA from 1 species